rnacentral:rRNA from 1 species
UCGAGAAUUUUUCUCAAUGGGCGAAAGCCUGAAGGAGCGACGCCGCGUGGGGGAUGAAUGGCUUCGGCCCGUAAACCCCUGUCAUUUGCGAACAAAUUGCUUCACCUAACAUGUGGAGUAUUGAUUGUAGCGAAAGAGGAAGGGACGGCUAACUCUGUGCCAGCAGCCGCGGUAAUACAGAGGUCCCAAGCGUUGUUCGGAUUCACUGGGCGUAAAGGGUGCGUAGGCGGUUGAGUAAGUCUGACGUGAAAUCUCCGAGCCUAACUCGGAAACUGCGUUGGAUACUAUUCAGCUAGAGGAAUGGAGGGGAGACUGGAAUACUUGGUGUAGCAGUGAAAUGCGUAGAUAUCAAGUGGAACACCAGUGGCGAAGGCGAGUCUCUGGACAUUUCCUGACGCUGAGGCACGAAAGCCAGGGGAGCAAA